UACGUAGGGCGCAAGCGUUAUCCGGAAUUAUUGGGCGUAAAGAGCUCGUAGGCGGUUUGUCGCGUCUGCUGUGAAAGACCGGGGCUCAACUCCGGUUCUGCAGUGGGUACGGGCAGACUAGAGUGCAGUAGGGGAGACUGGAAUUCCUGGUGUAGCGGUGAAAUGCGCAGAUAUCAGGAGGAACACCGAUGGCGAAGGCAGGUCUCUGGGCUGUAACUGACGCUGAGGAGCGAAAACAUGGGGAGCGAACAGG
rnacentral:rRNA from 1 species